AACUACUAUUUAUUUUGGAAAAUAAUUUUCACACUAUUUCUUACCUCAUACACACUCUUCUAGUUUCCUGAGCAUUAUUGGAAAAUUAAAGUAAUUAAUAAAGUGUGCACAAGAUAAAAAAAUGGUAUAUUGAAAUCACUAUCCAUUAUUUUUCAGAAGAUGUAUCACGCAUAUUUUUAAAAGAAAGAGGCCAAGUUUUUAAUGCAUACCAACUACUAAUGAGAUAGCAAAAUCUUACCUUUGUUUUCUAGGUCAGGAAACAAACUUCAUCAAAGAUAAAGGGAAAAUUACAAAUGUUAUAGAUCGUCCAAAUCCAUACAAAACAAAGUGAGAUAAAAGAGUAAAAAGGCCCAAGCAAAAGGAGAGCUACAACUCAAGAUAUAACGGAAGGCCCACACAAACUUAAUGUCACAGCCCGUCCUGAAUUAUUUUGUCGUCAGUGUGAAAUGUCUAUUUUUCCCUUGAACGUUGAGGUGUGUUGUGUGUGACAUGCUUUUAGAGGUAGACCAAUAUGUUAAGUUCCUAAGUUUUUGGACCCAAUUAGAACUUAAGCUUUUGUUUGUUUUGGUUGGUAGCCCAAACUAGGACCACACACACACACCCAGUUGACUCUCUCUCUCUUCCCUCUGUUGGACUUCUUUCCAUUUCAGUACAAUUGUACGGACAAACUUCAAACCUUCACUUCCAGUCACGGAUCGAAGCUGGGGAAGUGGUCUUUGUGUUCCUUGCAAGUCUAGCAUCCAUGCCAUUUGUUGGACGUGAAACCUUCGAAAAUCCAAGAACCAGAGAACCCCGAUCAUGAGCAUUGUUCAUGCAGUCGUAAAUGUGGACCUUUCAGCGAGUUUUAAGGUCAUAGGAAGCCUUAAAACAUCUUCACGAAGCUCGGGGAGUAACUUUGGAGUGAUUUAGACGUCGGGAAGCUUGGGUUUGGAGAGUUGCAGGAGUGAUCGGAAUAUCGAAGGGUUUUCCAACGACUUCCCGUGGGUUUUAGGACUCUUAAGUGGUAAGAACUUGUUCCUUUUGUCCCAAGCUUCAUUUUGGUUUAAGUUUCAUGAAUUUUGGUUGAGAAAUGAAGAAGAUAUGAAGUUUAGAAAUUUUUUUCUCAGUUUCCAGCGACGACGACGGAAUCCAAUGACUCGCCGGAGAAGAAGACGAAUAUUCCGUCAACUUUGACGGAAUAUUCCUAACGGCAAUUAACGACGUCAGGUAUAAUUAACGGUAUAUGCUUAUAUUUAACGGAAUAUUCCCUAACACCGUUAGGGAAUCCGUUUGGUGUGCCAGGCAAGUACCUGCGCUUGAGCAGCACUUCUGGCCGUGCCUUGGCCAGGGCGCGUGGGUGGUCAGAAAUUUUUUCUAAAAAUAUAGGGAUGUUCCUAAGGUUGAGUAGGUCAUGGUGGUAUAUUCAAAUACCUCAUUUGAGCAAUGUAUGAGAAGUUAUUUCCUAGUUUUGUAUAUGUGCUUUGAAUAACGUUUAUUUAGUUAUUUCGCAUAUAGGUGAGACCUAUCUUGAGGAUGAGCGCCAUCAAUCGAGGCUCGGGGCCUACGAUCCUUUGACAUAUCAGUGAGUGGGCUUUUGGUUUUCCGUAUAGACCUAUAUACUUGAGAUUUUUUUUCUAGAAAAUGAAUUUGAAUGAUUAUACGUUUUGAAAUGCCAUGCAAAGUAUCUGCCUAUUUUAUUUAUGCAUUAGUAGUUGCAUAUAUUUAUGAUUGGUGUUGUGGACGCACAGGUAAUCGCCAGGUAAGUUCAUAAAUUAAAGAUAUGAGAUUGCUUUAGUUAUGCGAGAGAUGAUGUGAUGCAUUGAGAGCUCAUAAACCUGCACCCCGGUGUUAGUGCUCCCACCCAAAGUUAGGGCACAACCAUUCACAUGAUGUUCACCUCCCGCACCAUAUGCUCACCUUGGAUCCAAGUUAGGUGCACAUGCUUGUCGUACAUACCACUUUAGGUGAUUCCGACUCAUAGGUCACCCGCGAUCAUUUGCACAGUCUUCACAUGAUCGUAGCACUAUAGCAUAUUUAUUUUACACCUAGUCUUGUCGUAUAGACCACUUUAGGUGGUUUUGACUCGUGUACAGGAUUUGAUAUGAUUGAGAUUGAUUAUGAGCUAUAGACUCAGUCGUGCAGAUUAAUUUAGGGGGAUUCGGCUGGUAUGAUAUCUGGCAUUGAUAUAUUUUAACUGGAUUACUUAUAGCAUUUUAUUGAGAUACUUUGGCAUGGUAUAUUUCUAUGGAUUUUCAUCCUAAGCAUGAUUUUUGAUAUAGCAUAUAUUAUCAUUUUUCUGGGAAAUUAUAUAGGUUUUACGGCGAGGAGUUAGAACUUUUGAAAAAUGAAAUGAUUUUGAAAAGCUUUGUUUUUGCCCACUCACACUUUUUGUUUUGCGCCCCUCCAGGUUUUAGGUAGAAGUGCUCUGGUGGCUCACGGGGAUUUCGACGGUGGUUCUGACAGAACAUCAUAAACGUAGGAACACCCUUGGGGGUUGUAUAAUUAGUACUUGUCCUGCUUGAUUGCACUUAGGCUAUUUAUGCUCUGGAUGUGUAUUUCACACUUAAUCUCACACUUGCACCUUAUCCUAUCUAGUACUCUAGUUGAUUUGGUUUUUGUUUAUUCGUAAUUCCUUAUAUCUCUAUUACUUCCGCACUGUGUACAUAACUACGUCAUCCUCACGUGACGGCCAGCAUAUCUCGAUCUUGGUCAGGGUGUGUCACUUAAGCCCGUAGGCAGCAAAGACAAACAACAACAAAAAAACCUAAACUGAAGCCGCAAAAACUAAUUCACAGCCUCAGUCGCCUUGUCCCUGAGGGAAGCCAUCACCCCAGACAAAAAAUUAGAUCCGAGAGUGUUCAACAAGAUCAAUCUACCAAGAACCACAUCCACAGCCACCCUACAAAGAAAGUCACCAAACGUAACAAAAAGAGGGGGAGGGCAAAAGGGUGGUAUAAACCACCUUUUUCCAACAUGAAUCUUUCCCCAUUUCGUACAAAGUUUCUGACAUGCAGGCUCGGCAAUGGGCUGUGAGUGUACGCAUGGAAAGUACUAUUUAAAUACAAGCUCUCCAUUGGGUUGGUGGACGCAAUUUUUUUUUUAGUAUGGUGUGCUAAGUUUUUAGAGGAUGUUCAUUUCAGCAUCCACAUAUGGUCUGUAAUUGUUUCAAGUUGGUUAAUAUAAAGUUUGUUUUCUUACGAAAUUUUUUAAAAAAUGGACAUGCUAAUUGCCUUCUCCAUUUACCUUCUCCUUUUGCCUUUCCCACUUAACUUUUGACACGUGGACUCUACUUAUACUUAAAACCAAAAGUUUAAUGUUUUGAAAAUAGAAAUUAUUUUCUUCCCUCGUUACCCUUAUAAUAAUCUAAACUUAACAAAAAGGAAAAAAUGAUAUAACUGCUCACCAACCUCUCUAGUCUCUACCAUUUUCCCCAACCCGUCUCUAAGACUGCCAAAACCUACUAAGUUUUAGGUUUAGGCCUCUUUGCAUUGCCACAGCCAUAAU
rnacentral:lncRNA from 1 species